AGCGGCGGACGGGUUAGUAAUGUCUGGGAAACUGCCUGAUGGAGGGGGAUAACUACUGGAAACGGUAGCUAAUACCGCAUAACGUCGCAAGACAAAGAGGGGGACCUUCGGGCCUCUUGCCAUCAGAUGUGCCCAGAUGGGAUUAGCUAGUAAGGGUUUUGGGGGGGGGGUUUAAAAACCCGGGGGGGGCUUUCCAAACCCUAAGCGACGAUCCCUAGCUGGUCUGAGAGGAUGACCAGCACACUGGAACUGAGACACGGUCCAGACUCCUACGGGAGGCAGCAGUGGGGAAUAUUGCACAAUGGGCGCAAGCCUGAUGCAGCAUGCCGCGUGUAUGAAGAAGGCCUUCGGGUUGUAAAGUACUUUCAGCGGGGAGGAAGGUGUUGUGGUUAAUAACCACAGCAAUUGACGUUACCCGCAGAAGAAGCACCGGCUAACUCCGUGCCAGCAGCCGCGGUAAUACGGAGGGUGCAAGGCGUUAAUCGGAAUUACUGGGCGUAAAGCGCACGCAGGCGGUCUGUCAAGUCGGAUGUGAAAUCCCCCGGGGNUCAACCUGGGGAAACUGGCAUUCGAAACUGGCAGCUAAGGGUCUUGUCACAA
rnacentral:rRNA from 1 species